GAUGAAGAACGCAGCGAAAUGCGAUAAGUAAUGUGAAUUGCAGAAUUCAGUGAAUCAUCGAAUCUUUGAACGCACAUUGCGCCCGUCAGUAUUCUGGCGGGCAUGCCUGUUCGAGCGUCAUUACGCCCCUCAAGUCCCCUGUGGACUUGGUGUUGGGGAUCGGCGAGGCUGGUUUUCCAGCACAGCCGUCCCUUAAAUUAAUUGGCGGUCUCGCCGUGGCCCUCCUCUGCGCAGUAGUAAAACACUAGCAACAGGAGCCCGGCGCGGUCCACUGCCGUAAAACCCCCCAACUUUUUAUAGUUGACCUCGAAUCAGGUAGGACUACCCGCUGAACUUAAGCAUAUCAAUAGCAGAGGA
rnacentral:misc_RNA from 1 species